GGACGAUCUGUGGUGGCGAUGCUGGACAUGAGCGUUUCCGGUUUCACGAUGUCACAAACACCAUACGGGGCAUUCUAGACCGUGUUACGCCCCGCAUCGCAAAAUUCGCAGCGACGAACACCACGAUGGCCGUUCACAAAACCGCGAGGCAGGCCCGCGCGGCCCGGCUAUUCGAUGAUACGGAACCAGGUGUCCGGCUCGCUGUCCGUUUCGCUGCCGGGCACAGCUUCGCGGUCACCGGCCGAUAGCUUGUAAAUUUGCACUUGCACGUCUGCGAUCAGCAGUUCGGUGCCGGCCAGCGCCUGGCGGACACACUCGUCCGAGUGAGCAUCAACCGGAG
rnacentral:misc_RNA from 1 species